rnacentral:rRNA from 1 species
AGUAGCGGCGAGCGAAACGGGAAGAGCCCAAACCAACAAGCUUGCUUGUUGGGGUUGUAGGACACUCUAUACGGAGUUACAAAAGAACAUGUUAGACGAAUCAUCUGGAAAGAUGAAUCAAAGAAGGUAAUAAUCCUGUAGUCGAAAACAUAUUCUCUCUUGAGUGGAUCCUGAGUACGACGGAGCACGUGAAAUUCCGUCGGAAUCUGGGAGGACCAUCUCCUAAGGCUAAAUACUCUCUAGUGACCGAUAGUGAACCAGUACCGUGAGGGAAAGGUGAAAAGUACCCCGGAAGGGGAGUGAAAGAGAACUUGAAACCGUGUGCUUACAAGUAGUCAGAGCCCGUUAAUGGGUGAUGGCGUGCCUUUUGUAGAAUGAACCGGCGAGUUACGAUCUGAUGCAAGGUUAAGCAGCAAAUGUGGAGCCGCAGCGAAAGCGAGUCUGAAUAGGGCGUUGAGUAUUUGGUCGUAGACCCGAAACCAGGUGAUCUACCCUUGGUCAGGUUGAAGUUCAGGUAACACUGAAUGGAGGACCGAACCGACUUACGUUGAAAAGUGAGCGGAUGAACUGAGGGUAGCGGAGAAAUUCCAAUCGAACUUGGAGAUAGCUGGUUCUCUCCGAAAUAGCUUUAGGGCUAGCCUCAAGUGAUGAUUAUUGGAGGUAGAGCACUGUUUGGACGAGGGGCCCCUCUCGGGUUACCGAAUUCAGACAAACUCCGAAUGCCAAUUAAUUUAACUUGGGAGUCAGAACAUGGGUGAUAAGGUCCGUGUUCGAAAGGGAAACAGCCCAGACCACCAGCUAAGGUCCCAAAAUAUAUGUUAAGUGGAAAAGGAUGUGGCGUUGCCCAGACAACUAGGAUGUUGGCUUAGAAGCAGCCAUCAUUUAAAGAGUGCGUAAUAGCUCACUAGUCGAGUGACACUGCGCCGAAAAUGUACCGGGGCUAAACAUAUUACCGAAGCUGUGGAUUGUCCUUUGGACAAUGGUAGGAGAGCGUUCUAAGGGCGUCGAAGCAUGAUCGCAAGGACAUGUGGAGCGCUUAGAAGUGAGAAUGCCGGUGUGAGUAGCGAAAGACGGGUGAGAAUCCCGUCCACCGAUUGACUAAGGUUUCCAGAGGAAGGCUCGUCCGCUCUGGGUUAGUCGGGUCCUAAGCUGAGGCCGACAGGCGUAGGCGAUGGAUAACAGGUUGAUAUUCCUGUACCACCUAGUAUCGUUUUAAUCGAUGGGGGGACGCAGUAGGAUAGGCGAAGCGUGCUGUUGGAGUGCACGUCCAAGCAGUAAGGCUGAGUGUUAGGCAAAUCCGGCACUCAUAAGGCUGAGCUGUGAUGGGGAGAGGAAAUUGUUUCCUCGAGUCGUUGAUUUCACACUGCCGAGAAAAGCCUCUAGAUAGAUAACAGGUGCCCGUACCGCAAACCGACACAGGUAGUCAAGAUGAGAAUUCUAAGGUGAGCGAGCGAACUCUCGUUAAGGAACUCGGCAAAAUGACCCCGUAACUUCGGGAGAAGGGGUGCUCUUUAGGGUUAACGCCCAGAAGAGCCGCAGUGAAUAGGCCCAAGCGACUGUUUAUCAAAAACACAGGUCUCUGCUAAACCGUAAGGUGAUGUAUAGGGGCUGACGCCUGCCCGGUGCUGGAAGGUUAAGAGGAGUGGUUAGCUUCUGCGAAGCUACGAAUCGAAGCCCCAGUAAACGGCGGCCGUAACUAUAACGGUCCUAAGGUAGCGAAAUUCCUUGUCGGGUAAGUUCCGACCCGCACGAAAGGCGUAACGAUUUGGGCACUGUCUCAACGAGAGACUCGGUGAAAUCAUAGUACCUGUGAAGAUGCAGGUUACCCGCGACAGGACGGAAAGACCCCGUGGAGCUUUACUGUAGCCUGAUAUUGAAAUUCGGCACAGCUUGUACAGGAUAGGUAGGAGCCUUUGAAACGUGAGCGCUAGCUUACGUGGAGGCGUUGGUGGGAUACUACCCUAGCUGUGUUGGCUUUCUAACCCGCACCACUUAUCGUGGUGGGAGACAGUGUCAGGCGGGCAGUUUGACUGGGGCGGUCGCCUCCUAAAAGGUAACGGAGGCGCUCAAAGGUUCCCUCAGAAUGGUUGGAAAUCAUUCAUAGAGUGUAAAGGCAUAAGGGAGCUUGACUGCGAGACCUACAAGUCGAGCAGGGUCGAAAGACGGACUUAGUGAUCCGGUGGUUCCGCAUGGAAGGGCCAUCGCUCAACGGAUAAAAGCUACCCCGGGGAUAACAGGCUUAUCUCCCCCAAGAGUUCACAUCGACGGGGAGGUUUGGCACCUCGAUGUCGGCUCAUCGCAUCCUGGGGCUGUAGUCGGUCCCAAGGGUUGGGCUGUUCGCCCAUUAAAGCGGUACGCGAGCUGGGUUCAGAACGUCGUGAGACAGUUCGGUCCCUAUCCGUCGUGGGCGUAGGAAAUUUGAGAGGAGCUGUCCUUAGUACGAGAGGACCGGGAUGGACAUACCUCUGGUGUACCAGUUGUCGUGCCAACGGCAUAGCUGGGUAGCUAUGUGUGGACGGGAUAAGUGCUGAAAGCAUCUAAGCAUGAAGCCCCCCUCAAGAUGAGAUUUCCCAACUUCGGUUAUAAGAUCCCUCGAAGAUGACGAGGUUAAUAGGUUCGAGGUGGAAGCGUGGUGACACGUGGAGCUGACGAAUACUAAUCGAUCGAAGACUUAAUCAA